rnacentral:rRNA from 1 species
UACGUAGGUGACAAGCGUUGUCCGGAUUUACUGGGCGUAAAGAGCGCGCAGGCGGUCGUUCAAGUCGAGUGUGAAAGCCCCCGGCUCAACUGGGGGGGGUCAUUCGAUACUGAUCGACUCGAAGGCAGGAGAGGGUAGUGGAAUUCCCGGUGUAGUGGUGAAAUGCGUAGAUAUCGGGAGGAACACCAGUAGCGAAGGCGGCACUCUGGGCCGGUACUGACGCUGAGGAGCGAAAGCGUGGGGAGCGAACAGG